UGUUGUGCCCCGGGUUGCAAAAACAAAUCACAUUAGAGUUUGUAAUGCACAUUUUGUUCUAGGAAAACCUUUUUAGUACACUGGAGAAACACACCCAGACUGGGCCCCAUCCCUGAAUCUUGACAAAGUGUAUUUAAACGCUAAGUCAGCCAUGGAUAGAGAGUCAAGAAGAG